GUCAAAUUCAGAAAAGAUCAAACUUGAAAUAUAAGUGAAAGUUGAAAUUUUAAAUCUCAUGUAAAUUAAAAAUUAUACCUUAUAAUCUAAAAAGACACAUUAAACCACAUGACUUGAUAUUUUUGAAGUUACUUAACACUUUUGAAAGUUAAAUACAUACUUUGAAGUUACUUAACACUCUUGAAAUUUUAACGUAGAAGACUUCUACAGAAAUCUUCUAGAGAAGACUUCUCCAGAAGUCUUCUCGGAUUAGUUAGAAACAUUAGUAAAUAUAAAUAUUUGAAAUCUCAUAAUUAUCACCAAAUUAGUUAUGAAUUUUAUCCAGAAGCCCCAAUAUUGUCUAAUACACAUGAAUUAAUAAAAUAAUAUUAAAAAGUCAGUUUACUUGUAGAGAAAAUGAAAGUUUAUUAAACAUUGAUGUACUUCUACGGAAGCCUGCUCCGAGAAGGCUUCUCACGAUAUCUUCUAUUUAGGUCGUUUUUGCAAUUGCAAAUUUACGAAGGAAUCCAUUGUAAAUAUUGGUUUAAUUUUUAAUUUAAAAAAAUCUCGAAAAUGCUAGAGAAGACUUCUCGGAUAAACUAGUUAGUUUUGUAAUUGACUAAAGUUUUUCAGAAACUUGACUUUUACAGAAGACUUCUUGGGAAAUCUUCUCAGAGAAGACUUCUAUAAAAGUCUCUGAAAGUCUUCUCAAUGUCGCAAGAAGUCUACCUGAAAUAGUUUUUCAAUUGACUAUAUUUGACUUUUCAAGAGAAGACUUCUAUAACCAAAGGUUUGACCAACACCCGGAAUAAAAUUUGAGAAGACUUCUAAAGAUGUCUUCUUCCAGAAGACUUCUCAAGAAGUCUUCUCAUAAAUAUUAAAUGUUUCACUAUUAUUUUUCAGUUUUAAACGUAACCCACGCAGACUUCUUUCGACAGUGAGUAGACUUCAGGAAAACUUUGAGACGACUUCUAUAGAAGUUUUUCCCGAGAAUACUUCCUGAGAAGUCUUCUAUAAAAAAUCAAAUUUCUGACAAACUUCGAUCAAUUGCAAAACUAACCUAUUUAUCCGAGAAGUCUUCUCUGGGAUUUUCGUUUUUUUUCUUAAUAAAGGAAAGUUAGAAGACUUCUAGGGAAGUCUUCUUUAUGGAGAACAUAUCUAGGGAAGUCUUCUGAAAGUCUUCCCGAAGUCUUCUGAAUGUCUUCGCGAACAGAUCUGAGAAAAAAAAUGAUUUCAUACUUUGAGCAUGUGAGAUUACUUGCUUUGUUUCUCCAAGCACCCAGAACUUCACUGCAAAAGCUACCAAGUCGUUAAUGACCACGAAUCAUGAGUUUCAAUGUCUCUAUGAACCUUACAAAACUUGGAAUCAAAAUCUUAAUUUUUUUUGGAUGAAUUUGAAGAGAGAGUGAAAGAGAUGUGAUUCGUGUGCAUAUCUAAUGAGAUAUGAAGAGUAAAAAUCGAAACUUUGGUGCAUUAAGAGCAUCAAAUUGGUUGUUCAUGGUGGUUAGUGUAUUGAUGGCAAUGGUAAUAUUGUAAAUACUUUGUAAAGAUAAGGAUGAUAAGGUAAAAGAAUCAUUUUCAAAAAAAAAAGAAAAAAAUAUAAUGACAUUUUCGUGAAUAACUCGAACUUCUAGGGUGAAUAGAAAAAAAAACAUGAGUUAUUUUUGUGUUUGAUUUAAAAUUUUAGGUCAUAUUUGAAAAAAAAAUCUCUUGUUUUUAUCGGAAUAGAUUAGAUAAUAAAAAAUAUAACAAUUUUGUUUUAUUUUUAUUUUUAUGUGUUAUUUUUUAAUGAUUUGGAAACUUAAAGGGAUACAGAGGGAGUAGAAAAAUGAUUGACAUUAUUGAAUCUAUUCAAGACAAACUUUUAUACUUCUACAAGAAAAAAAAGACAAACUUUUAUACUAUUAUUAUUCUCAAAUAUAUGUAUCCUAUGCAAGCAUUAAGAGCACAUUUAUCCCACGUUUCUAGGAUGAGUUUUUAGGAAAAAGUGGGUGUGGGUCCCACUGAAACCAGAGAAAACAUCUCCAGAAAUCGCGAAAUAGGAGACGUCUGUUGAACUGUUCGCGGAUCCCACUGACACGUGGCGAUCCGCAAAUGGUUUGAUUUUAAUUUUUUUUUUAAAUUAAAAAAAAAAAAUAAUAAUAAUAAAAAAACGUAUAUGCGAUAAAGAUGCUCUAAUUUAUGCACAGUCUUCCGCAUUGACGUUUGAAUUAACGUUGAUGGGACGAGGACGACCCCAAUAAGAGCAGCUGCAACGGGAGAUCGUUGAUGGUCCUUAGCGCAUAAUCAUAUGCUUUUGGGAUUAUAAUAAUAUUAUUUGAGCUAAAUAAGCUAAGGAUUAAUCCUUACAUAAGGAUUUAAAGGAUUUGAUCCUUAGAGACGUGGCAGCGGGUGAUUCGUUGGUCGGCUUUCGUCUUUCGUAUACCAAAAAAAAAAUCAUUUUCGAUCGAAGCGGAGAAAAAAAAAGCUCUCGAGGAAAGGCGAAUUGGAACCGUCCCGCUACGAAGGUAAAAUCGAACCCUUCUCUUGCCGAUUUAGGGAUUUAGAUUAGGUUCGAUGUUGUUUUCCUGUCAAUUUAGUGUUCGGUUUUGUGUUUUCAAUCGAUUUGGGGUCAUUUACGUUUGAAAUUAGGUUUUCGAAAAACUAGGUUUUCAAUCGAUUUGGGGUUUAGGUCGUUUGUAGUUAGGGUUUGAAAAGCAUUUUGGUUUCAAACGAUUUGGGGUUUAGGUCGUUUGUAGUUAGAGUUUUGUGUUUUCUGCUCAAGUGUUUUCGUUUGUUCUUAACUCGAUCCCUCUGAUUUGAUAAUCUUUGGUGAUGAUUUGUUGUCCUUUGUUCUUACUCGGGUUUUUAAUUGAUUUGAUAAUCUUCUCGUUUGUUCUUUUAUCCCUUUACUCUGAUUUAGUUUGCUUGGAAACUCAUUGUUGAUAUUGUUUACAUUCGUUUCUUGUUUGCAGAUGGCGAAUCCACAUGAACCUCAUUUCUUAAAGCUUCUGCUUCCUGGUUUCCACAGUGGCAUCGUAAGAACCUCACUCUCUCUAUUUGUUUACAUUCGUUUAUUGAUUAGAUGUAUUUCUUGUUUGAUUAACUUUGCCUUUUCUUGCAGACAAUACCACUUGGCUUCUUCUCAAAGCACAUAGAAAGGAAGACGAACCAGAAAACAUGGAAACUAAGAUCGGACGCUUCAGAUAAAAUUUGGGAAGUGAUACAAGAAGGCAUGAGACUCACCGGAGGUUUGAAAGAUUUCGCCACAGCACAUGACCUUCGAAUCGGUGACACUGUCAUCUUCAAACACGAAGGAGACAUGGUGUUUCAUGUCACUCCUUUUGGUCCUAGCUGUUGUGAGAUUCAAUAUACAGAUCCUGACAUCAAGAAGGAAGAAGCCGACGCGGGUGAUGCUGAUGACAAUGAGAUUACUCACAUUGCUUCUAGCUCACGGAUGAUUUAGGAGUGAUUGUGACCGGAAAUAGAUAUCUCUUUUGCUGUGUUUCCUCUCUAUCAAACUUGUUUCCUCUCUUGCUAGUUAUCUCUUUCGGUUUGUUUCGUCUCUAUCAGAACUUGUUUCCUUUUCUUUCCUUUUGGUACUACUGUAAAAUCUUGUUGCUACAACUCGAAGUUGCCACAAGUGUAAUCUUGUUUCUUAUCUUA